AAGUAUAAUUUGACUGAUUCUUUGAGGACUGGCCUUUACCAUGAUGUGACAUAUGAGACAUUUUCUCACUUUUGCAGCACAGUCUGAAGUCUGUUCACAUUCUUUACAGAGCUAGGGUGGAUGAGUCUUGGAAAUACAGAAAGCAGGUGUGUUAUUCAGCAUGCGCAUGUGCACAAGCAAUAGCAGCAUAUCAGCUUUAGACGUGGACAUGUCACAGGGAGGCCUGUUUCAGCAGCUGAGCAAGCAUGUGGUGGGAAGGAAGAAUGUCCUUCACUGCAAAGUACACACCUUUUACAACUCAAAAAGGACUAGAAGGUCAAAAUGGCAUCACUCAGCUGUCCUGUGCCAAUUGCUCAUUAAAAUAGAGUGA
rnacentral:lncRNA from 1 species